GCCUGCAUGAAGUCGGAAUUGCUAGUAAUCGCGGAUCAGCAUGCCGCGGUGAAUACGUUCCCGGGCCUUGUACACACCGCCCGUCACACCAUGGGAGCCGGUAAUACCCGAAGUCAGUAGUCCAACCUCGUGAGGACGCUGCCGAAGGUAGGAUUGGCGACUGGGGUGAAGUCGUAACAAGGUAUC
rnacentral:rRNA from 1 species